UGGUUCCAGCAUCGAUGAAGAACGCAGCGAAAUGCGAUAAAUAAUGUGAAUUGCAGAAUUCCGUGAAUCAUCGAGUCUUUGAACGCACAUUGCACUCCUUGGCAUUCCGAGGAGUACGCCUGUUCGAGCGUCAUUAACCAUCAAGUCUGACUUGGAUUCAAUUUUGCUGCGCAAUCUUGCAAUGACAUCGGCGACGGACCACAGUGAUGACUCGCUCGCGUCCGCCGCCUCAACCUCUCUUCAGUUGACCUCGGAUCAGGCGGGGAUACCCGCUGA
rnacentral:misc_RNA from 1 species